rnacentral:tRNA from 1 species
GGAGGGGUGUCCGAGCCCGGUUGAAGGAGCACGAUUCGAAAUCGUGUAGAGGGAAACCUCUCGUGGGUUCAAAUCCCACCCCCUCCGCCU